rnacentral:rRNA from 1 species
GUCCACGCGGUAAACGAUGGGCACUAGGUGUGGGGUAUCCACUCCUCCCGUGCCGAAGCUAACGCAUUAAGUGCCCCGCCUGGGGAGUACGGCCGCAAGGUUAAAACUCAAAGGAAUUGACGGGGCCCGCACAAGCGGUGGAGCAUGUGGUUUAAUUCGACGCAACGCGAAGAACCUUACCUGGGCUUGACAUCCCUGGAACUUCCUGGAAAACAGGGAGGUGCCCUCGAAAGAGGGAGCCAGGAGACAGGUGCUGCAUGGCUGUCGU